rnacentral:rRNA from 1 species
CCCUUAGAUGUCCGGGGCCGCACGCGCGCUACACUGAAGGAAUCAGCGUGGCUUUCUCCCUGACCCGAAAGGGUUGGGAAACCCGUUGAAUCUCCUUCGUGAUAGGGAUUGGGGCUUGAAAUUGUUCCCCAUGAACGAGGAAUACCCAGUAAGCGCGAGUCAUAAGCUCGCGUUGAUUACGUCCCUGCCCUUUGUACACACCGCCCGUCGCUACUACCGAUUGAACGGUUUAGUGAGGGCCUCGGAUUGGUCUCGGCCCGCUCUUUACCGGGCGGCGCCGUUGGUCGAGAAGACGCUCGAACUUGAUCGUUUAGAGGAAGUAAAAGUCGUAACA